UGGGGAAUAUUGCACAAUGGGGGGAACCCUGAUGCAGCGAUGCCGCGUGGAGGAAGAAGGUUUUCGGAUUGUAAACUCCUGUCUUAAAGGACGAUAAUGACGGUACUUUAGGAGGAAGCUCCGGCUAACUACGUGCCAGCAGCCGCGGUAAUACGUAGGGAGCGAGCGUUGUCCGGAAUUACUGGGUGUAAAGGGAGCGUAGGCGGGAUUGCAAGUCAGAUGUGAAAUGCAGAGGCUUAACCUCUGAGCUGCAUUUGAAACUGUAGUUCUUGAGUGAAGUAGAGGUAAGCGGAAUUCCUGGUGUAGCGGUGAAAUGCGUAGAUAUCAGGAGGAACACCGGUGGCGAAGGCGGCUUACUGGGCUUUUACUGACGCUGAGGCUCGAAAGCGUGGGUAGCAAACAGG
rnacentral:rRNA from 1 species